AUUGAACGCUGGCGGCAGGCCUAACACAUGCAAGUCGAGCGGGGCGGCGGAGGGGUUAGUAAUGCCUAGGAAUCUGACUGGUGCUGGGGGAGAAGGUCCGAAAACGGGCGCUAAUCCCGCAAACUAUCGUAUGAGCCUAGGUCCGAUUAGCUAGUUUGUGGGGGAAAGGCCUACCAAGGCGACGAUCCGUAACGGGUCUGAGAGGAUGAUCAGUCACACUGGAACUGAGACACGGUCCAGACUCCUAAGGGAGGCAGCAGUAGGGAAUAUUGGACAAUGGGCGAAAGCCUGAUCCAGCCAUGCCGCGUGUGUGAAGAAGGGCUUCGGAUUGUAAAGCACUUUAAGUUGGGAGGCGUUACUAACAGGAUAAGCACCGGCUAACUUCGUGCCAGCAGCCGCGGUAAUAC
rnacentral:rRNA from 1 species